GGGGGUAUGGCUCAGUGGUACAGCGUAUGCUUAGCAUGCACAAGGUCCUCGGAUUCAAUCCCCAAUAUCUCCA
rnacentral:tRNA from 1 species